rnacentral:tRNA from 1 species
ACCUGGGUGGCUCAGUCGGUUAAGCGUCUGACUUCAACUCAGGUCACCUUCUCGCGGUCCAUGGGUUCGAGCCCCACAUCGGGCU